UACGUAGGGUGCAAGCGUUGUCCGGAAUUAUUGGGCGUAAAGAGCUCGUAGGCGGUUUGUCGCGUCUGCUGUGAAAACCUGAGGCUCAACCUCAGGCCUGCAGUCGAUACGGGCGGACUUGAGUACUGCAGGGGAGACUGGAAUUCCUGGUGUAGCGGUGAAAUGCGCAGAUAUCAGGAGGAACACCGGUGGCGAAGGCGGUGGUCUGGGCCGGUACUGACGCUGGAGGAGCGAAAGCGUGGGGAGCGAACAGG
rnacentral:rRNA from 1 species